CUGCUUCCAAGGAGAUCUUAGUUCCAGAUGAGGCAUAAGUCAUGACAGCAUUUUACCAUGUUAGUGAAUUAUAGAAGAGUCAAUGGACUGAGCCUGAGGAGACCUGAGUUCAAGUCCAGACUCUAUUCCAUUUGGGAGUGAUUUUUACGUAUCAUGUGAGGAAUAUGCAUACCCUGCAGACUGUUGCUGCAAGUAAUGAGGAGGAAACAUUGACAGCAUUAAUCAAGGAGUCUCGAACCUUUCUACUCUGGAGGCAUUGCCUCUCCUCGUCUUUGCUGAAGCCAGAGGUCAUGUGCUCACACAAUCAUAUGGAGAAGCAUAAAUGAGCUAUUUCUCAUCACCUAGCUCUUUUUAUCAGGAUUAAAAAUCUUUCCUCAAAAAGUCCAGAAGCAUACUUCCCUCUAGCCUAGUUGGCCAGGAUUACAUAACAUGCCUCCGAUGGAACCAAUCACUGGUGAAGGGAGUGCAAUUAUUGUGAUUCUAGAUUAACUGUAAUAAUUGACAUUCACCCCCUGGAGCUGGGAUAGAAAGCCGAUUUACAGCAUCGCUGAGCAGGAAAAAAGAGAUGGCUGUUGAACAGGAGGCAACAUGCAAUGACAUAAUUAAUUGUUAAUGGAAUUCUAGCCAAAAGGAUGUGGGAGGAGAGGAAGGAGCCACAAAGGGAGAAUCAUGCCUAAGAGUUAACUAUGGUACUCUGAAGCAGAACAGAGAUGAAAUGUAUCAGAGAAGUAUAAAUUCUGCACUAAAAUUCAGAAACUUCAUUGUAUAAGAACAAAGUGGAGAAGAUUUAGUUUAACAGUGGUUCAUGUGAAAAGG
rnacentral:lncRNA from 10 species